rnacentral:rRNA from 1 species
UACGGGGGGGGCAAGCGUUGUUCGGAAUUACUGGGCGUAAAGGGCGCGUAGGCGGGCGGACAAGUCUCUCGUGAAAGCCCACGGCUCAACCGUGGAAGUGCGGGGGAUACUGUCUGUCUUGAGUCCGGGAGAGGAGGGUGGAAUUCCCAGUGUAGCGGUGAAAUGCGUAGAUAUUAGGAAGAACACCGGUGGCGAAGGCGGCCCUCUGGACCGAUACUGACGCUGAGACGCGAAAGCGUGGGGAGCAAACAGG